GAGGGUCCUGGGUUGGUUUUAUGACUGCUCUUCAUAGUCUCUCAGGGUGAUUACUGAGCUGCACAGAGGACCUUUCCACACCUGAACAGCUCCCUGGACUCCCAGACAGACACAGACACACAGGGCGCUGCUGUAUCCUGAGAGGGUGUGACUGCGUGAGACACUACAAGCUCUCCCAGCGCUGUGAGGACUCAGACACUGAAGAGACAGACCAUGAACAAGAAUGAAAGCAGCGGUGACGACCCCUUCACCUACGAUUAUGCCACGCUGUCGACGGGGGGUCUGGUGUUUGCCGGUGUCAUUGUGUGUCUGGCGAUCCUGCUGCUGCUGAGUGAUAGAACGUGCAAAAGAAAAGGGAGUCCCGUGGUGUAGCACAGUAAAGAGUGACGGAGCUGAGGGGGAGCUGCGGGCUCUCGCUGGGAGCAUUUCCUAACACAAAUCCCAAUGUUAUUUUCUUAAUGAAUGUCAGUGUCAACCCUGAUGCUGGAAACAAGCCCUUUAAAACAGUGGAAUCAGUUCAUAAAUAAAUCAUGUUUGAUUGAUUGUCAA